UAUUGGUAUCUUUACAUUUGAAUUCAACAUUAUAUAUGCAAAGCUAUUUACAUUACGAUCCUUUGAGCUAUUUACUAUUUAACACCAACAUCUUCUUCUAAUCUUUUAUGAGCCCCCAUCCGGCCUAAAGCGAAGGGUUGAAAUUGAUCUGGUCGUUUAGCUUCCGAAGGCGCGACGAGAGAGUAGAGCGAAACGCCGGCCACAGCGACGACGGUGGGAGCGCUGCUCGGGCUGGGCACUCAGUUGUACUCCAACGCCCUCCUCAAACUCCCCUACAUGCGCCAUCCGUGGGAGCACGUGGUGCGUUGGGGCUGGGGCGGUCUUCUUCUUGACAAGACCAAGGCCGCCAAUGAGCGCAGAUACUUCGGAGGUUUCAUCGUUGUGGCAGGGAAAGCUUUAAUGUUUGUGACAGAAAUUUGAAUGGAUGGGCAUUUAUGCGAAGUAUGAUUUUGUUGGGACAAUGGCACAAAUAUCAGGUUUAGAGCAGUAUGCCAAUGUAACUCUUUUGGUGGUUAUACAUUACAAAAACCUUGUGAUUUUCCAAGGACCAGUUGUUUAUUAUUGAUUCUCUAGCAGAAACUAUUAUAUGAUAAUAUUCAUUUUAUA